GAUGAAUGCUGGCGGCGUGCCUAAUACAUGCAAGUCGUACGGAAAGGCCCUUCGGGGUACUCGAGUGGCGGACGGCUGAGUAACGCGUGGGAACGUGCCCCAAAGUGAGGAAUAACUGCCCGAAAGGGUAGCUAAUGCCGCAUAUGAUCUUCGGAUUAAAGCUUCGGCGCUUCGGGAGGGGCCUGCGUCCGAUUAGCUCGUUGGUGGGGUAACGGCUCACCAAGGCGACGAUCGGUAGGUGGUCUGAGAGGACGAUCACCCAGACUGGGACUGAGACACGGCCCAGACUCCUACGGGAGGCAGCAGUGGGGAAUUUUGGACAAUGGGGGCAACCCUGAUCCAGCAAUGCCGCGUGAGUGAAGAAGGCCUUCGGGUUGUAAAGCUCUUUUGUCAGGGAAGAAACGGUGGGGGCUAAUAUCUCCUGCUAAUGACGGUACCUGAAGAAUAAGCACCGGCUAACUACGUGCCAGCCGCCGCUGUAACAC
rnacentral:rRNA from 1 species